rnacentral:rRNA from 1 species
CUCCUGGAAACGGGUGGUAAUGCCGGAUGUGCCGGGCUCCUGCAUGGGGGUCCGGGAAAGCUCUGGCGGCGUGGGAUGGGGUCGCGUCCUAUCAGCUUGUUGGCGGGGUGAGGGCCCACCAAGGCUUCGACGGGUAGCCGGCCUGAGAGGGCGACCGGCCACAUUGGGACUGAGAUACGGCCCAGACUCCUACGGGAGGCAGCAGUGGGGAAUAUUGCACAAUGGGCGCAAGCCUGAUGCAGCGACGCCGCGUGCGGGAUGGAGGCCUUCGGGUUGUAAACCGCUUUUGUUUGGGAGCAAGCCCUUCGGGGUGAGUGUACCUUUCGAAUAAGCACCGGCUAACUACGUGCCAGCAGCCGCGGUAAUACGUAGGGUGCGAGCGUUAUCCGGAUUUAUUGGGCGUAAAGGGCUCGUAGGCGGUUCGUCGCGUCCGGUGUGAAAGUCCAUCGCCUAACGGUGGGUCUGCGCCGGGUACGGGCGGACUGGAGUGCGGUAGGGGAGACUGGAAUUCCCGGUGUAACGGUGGAAUGUGUAGAUAUCGGGAAGAACACC